AUACUACUCCCUCUGUCCGGAAAUACUUGUCAUCAAAAUAAAUAAAAUGGGGUGUAUCUAGAUGUAUUUUAGUUCUAGAUACAUCCCUUUUUAUCCAUUUUGGUGACAAGUAUUUUCGGACGGAGGGAGUAUAUG
rnacentral:pre_miRNA from 1 species